ensembl:lncRNA
GGAAGGCUCACACCUUGCUGGGCCUCAGCGUGGUUUCUCUCUAACAAAACCCCAUCUGGCUAAUGCUGUUCUAAUAAGGGAGAAACUGGGACUUAAUGAAAGUUAGAAAUAAUUGGAGUGCUGUAAGCUGCUCACCCCGAAAACUGAGUUAGGAGAAAUCCUGCUAGGGUCCUGCCUUGGAAAUCUGGUCUGAAAGUCAGUGGAAUAUACGUGACAGAUGGAUGGACAGAUGGAUGGUGGUAGCCAACCCAAUGGUUAUUGAGCCUCCCUGGUGGACCUUCCCAGCCCAACCCAAGCACCUGGAUGAGCCCAGCCCUGCUGUUCCAGAAGGUGUGAAGAUUGAACUCCUCCACAUUCCUCCCUUGGGAGCAAGGACAGAGUGAAAUGAAGCUCAGAGAUGUCCACUUUCUGCACUCGGUGGCUGGCUACAACAUAAGUCUUCGCACAGGAUUUAGAGGUGAAAGAAGUUGCGCUCGAAGCUUCAUUACACCGCUUUGAUGCUGAAGUAAGAAUUCCCACAGCGAAGAUGGACAGAGCAAGACUGACAGAACCAGCCACAUUUUCAUUAUUAAUAUCAGAACUGCACGCAGUCGGAAAGCAGAAAGGACUGAAGAAUUUCAUAGCCCAAAUACCUACAGAAUAAUAAUAAUAAAAUCCCAGAGUGUCACAGUACAGCCCAAUGUGCCUUUUGGAAAUGCUGCCAUUCCAGAUAGCAGGGGAAACACAAAUCCAGCCCAGUUACCAUGGAAAUGUACAGUAUACCUCCAAAAUGCAAAGCCACCUGGCUGACCCAGAGAACUUCUUUGAGAUGAGCAUGGUAGCCCAAUAGCAAACAGCUGUCAAACAUCUCUGUGAUGACAGACUGCAUGGAAAGCAGAAGCCAGCACCACCAUCAGCUUAGUGAGCUGGAGAUGACCCAGCAAUCCUUUUCUUACACAACCCACCAAAGCUACUGCUACAACCAGUGGAGCUGGUUUUAGCAAGAGUGGAAGAUCUGUGGAGGGAAAGGAAAUGCUCAGAAGCCAAACAAUCUAAUGCAGCAUCUGAAAUGGUGCUGCAUGUCUUUUCAGUUAAAUGACUCUCAAUGCAAUGUUCACCCAGGGGUGUAUUUGUUGAUGGGACAGAGACUUAGGAAAAUGGCACUGGAAAGAAAUCAUCUCCUUGAGCAUCCUGCGGUGCCCAGCAGGAGAGGCCCCAACUGCCUCGUGCCUCGAAGUGGGCGCUGCUGUGCCCACCAGGAACAGGGCAGCCAUCUCAGCGCCAAAGCCAUCCCCACCUCCCACCGGCUGGAUCCAAGCCUGAUCCUGGGCAGCAGUUACACGGUCAGGGCUGCUCUGCUCAGAAACCAACACGAGACAUUACAAAAGGAUUUUUCUGAAGAUGUAAAACAGCACCCAGGGAACAACUCAGGAAGGAGGCAUCGAGAACUAAAAUGCUGGAAUUUGGGAAAGUCUCCAAAACCUCAGAAUUUCAUAUAUAUUUGGUAUAGUAAGUGUAGCAGUGAAUUUAAAUCUCAUUAUCCGUUGCUGCUAAAAACAGGAAUGUAACUGAAAGUUUUGGGCAAUUCCAGCAUCCAUCAUCAGUACUCAGGCAUAGGCCUGAUUUCUCUGAGACUCUGAAGUAAUUUAAUACUGUGGAUUUUAUAAAGUAUACUUAUCCUUCAAUAAAUCCGUAAUAACUGCUUCUUUCAUUGCAUAUUAUGAACUUCCAAGUUACACUGUCAGCUGUUAAGCAGAGUCUCCCACACUUUAGUGAAAGCAAGAAAGCUUCCAGCAAGGAAGUGUCAUGGAGAUGAGGCACUAAUGGACUCCACAGAACCACAGACUGGUUGAGGUGGGCAGGGACCAGAGGGAUUCCUCCACUCCAGCUCCACUCAGAGCAAGGUGCCCAGGGCCGUCUCCAGGUGGGUUUGGAGAUUUCCAUGGAGAAGAACCCACAGCCUCUCUGGGUACUUGUGCCAGGAGCCCUUACAUUAUAGGAUCUGCAGAGAAACCAUGCUAA